AUCCCAUUUCAGCCCCUUGGCUAAGAUCAAGCGUAAUAUCUGUUAUUAUUGAUCUAAGUUCAGGUACAUCCUCACUUGAACACAAUAUAUUAAAUGGCUUUGGGGCACAGAACAGUGAAAUUGCUCACUUCAUUCUACACAUUCACCUGAUACUCCAGAGCCUCCAGGAGUGAUGCGACCUCU
ensembl:snRNA U2 U2 spliceosomal RNA